UAUACAGCGAAACUGCGAAUGGCUCAUUAUAUAAGUUAUCGUUUAUUUGAUAGUGCCUUACUACUUGGAUAACCGUGGUAAUUCUAGAGCUAAUACAUGCUAAAAACCCCGACUUCGGAAGGGGUGUAUUUAUUAGAUACAAAACCAAUGCCCUUCGGGGCUCUUUGGUGAUUCAUGAUAACUAUACGAAUCGCACGGCCUUGCGCCGGCGAUGGUUCAUUCAAAUUUCUUCCCUAUCAACUUUCGAUGUUUGGGUAUUGGCCAAACAUGGUUGCAACGGGUAACGGAGGGUUAGGGCUCGACCCCGGAGAAGGAGCCUGAGAAACGGCUACCACAUCCAAGGAAGGCAGCAGGCGCGCAAAUUACCCAAUCCCGACUCGGGGAGGUAGUGACAAUAAAUACUGAUACAGGGCCCUUUCGGGCCUUGUAAUUGGAAUGAGUACAAUUUAAAUCCCUUAACGAGGAACAAUUGGAGGGCAAGUCUGGUGCCAGCAGCCGCGGUAAUUCCAGCUCCAAUAGCGUAUAU
rnacentral:rRNA from 1 species